rnacentral:rRNA from 1 species
GGUCAAGGAUGGACUCGCGGCCUAUCAGCUUGUUGGUGAGGUAACGGCUCACCAAGGCGACGACGGGUAGCCGGCCUGAGAGGGUGACCGGCCACACUGGGACUGAGACACGGCCCAGACUCCUACGGGAGGCAGCAGUGGGGAAUAUUGCACAAUGGGCGAAAGCCUGAUGCAGCAACGCCGCGUGAGGGACGACGGCCUUCGGGUUGUAAACCUCUUUUAGCAGGGAAGAAGCGAAAGUGACGGUACCUGCAGAAAAAGCACCGGCUAACUACGUGCCAGCAGCCGCGGUAAUACGUAGGGUGCAAGCGUUGUCCGGAAUUAUUGGGCGUAAAGAGCUCGUAGGCGGUUUGUCGCGUCUGCUGUGAAAUCCCGAGGCUCAACCUCGGGUCUGCAGUGGGUACGGGCAGACUAGAGUGCGGUAGGGGAGAUUGGAAUUCCUGGUGUAGCGGUGGAAUGCGCAGAUAUCAGGAGGAACACCGAUGGCGAAGGCAGAUCUCUGGGCCGCUACUGACGCUGAGGAGCGAAAGGGUGGGGAGCAAACAGGCUUAGAUACCCUGGUAGUCCACCCCGUAAACGUUGGGCGCUAGAUGUGGGGACCAUUCCACGGUUUCCGUGUCGUAGC